GACCCACACACACGCCGCCGAACAAGGCCCCGUGACUACCUGAAUGGACAGACUGUGGCAGCGCGGGGCGAGCCGAGCAUGACGAGACGACAAACGCUGCGGUGUCCUCCAGUGGAGGUUGGCACACUGCACGUUGCCAUCGGCCGUGUGGCUCAGCCGAAUAUCGCCAGGGUGUUCAGAGGCCUG